rnacentral:rRNA from 1 species
CAAUCAAACCGGGAGAUAGCUGGUUCUCCCCGAAAGCUAUUUAGGUAGCGCCUCGUGAAUUCAUCUCCGGGGGUAGAGCACUGUUUCGGCUAGGGGGCCAUCCCGGCUUACCAACCCGAUGCAAACUGCGAAUACCGGAGAAUGUUAUCACGGGAGACACACGGCGGGUGCUAACGUCCGUCGUGAAGAGGGAAACAACCCAGACCGCCAGCUAAGGUCCCAAAGUCAUGGUUAAGUGGGAAACGAUGUGGGAAGGCCCAGACAGCCAGGAUGUUGGCUUAGAAGCAGCCAUCAUUUAAAGAAAGCGUAAUAGCUCACUGGUCGAGUCGGCCUGCGCGGAAGAUGUAACGGGGCUAAACCAUGCACCGAAGCUGCGGCAGCGAACGUAUCACCCAAGACAACUUUACGGAGUUGACGAUUGACGGAGCGAAGCGACGUCAAAGCGUUCAUUAAAGUCGAGUUGGCUUAGGGAUACGUUCGUUGGGUAGGGGAGCGUUCUGUAAGCCUGUGAAGGUGUGUCGUGAGGCAUGCUGGAGGUAUCAGAAGUGCGAAUGCUGACAUAAGUAACGAUAAAGCGGGUGAAAAGCCCGCUCGCCGGAAGACCAAGGGUUCCUGUCCAACGUUAAUCGGGGCAGGGUGAGUCGACCCCUAAGGCGAGGCCGAAAGGCGUAGUCGAUGGGAAACGGGUUAAUAUUCCCGUACUUGGUGUUACUGCGAAGGGGGGACGGAGAAGGCUAUGUUGGCCGGGCGACGGUUGUCCCGGUUUAAGCGUGUAGGUGUGUGUUCCAGGUAAAUCCGGUUCACUUUAACACUGAGGCGUGACGACGAGGCACUACGGUGCUGAAGCAACAAAUGCCCUGCUUCCAGGAAAAGCCUCUAAGCAUCAGGUAACAUCAAAUCGUACCCCAAACCGACACAGGUGGUCAGGUAGAGAAUACCAAGGCGCUUGAGAGAACUCGGGUGAAGGAACUAGGCAAAAUGGUGCCGUAACUUCGGGAGAAGGCACGCUGACACGUAGGUGAAGUGAUUUACUCAUGGAGCUGAAGUCAGUCGAAGAUACCAGCUGGCUGCAACUGUUUAUUAAAAACACAGCACUGUGCAAACACGAAAGUGGACGUAUACGGUGUGACGCCUGCCCGGUGCCGGAAGGUUAAUUGAUGGGGUCAGCGCAAGCGAAGCUCCUGAUCGAAGCCCCGGUAAACGGCGGCCGUAACUAUAACGGUCCUAAGGUAGCGAAAUUCCUUGUCGGGUAAGUUCCGACCUGCACGAAUGGCGUAAUGAUGGCCAGGCUGUCUCCACCCGAGACUCAGUGAAAUUGAACUCGCUGUGAAGAUGCAGUGUACCCGCGGCAAGACGGAAAGACCCCGUGAACCUUUACUAUAGCUUGACACUGAACAUUGAGCCUUGAUGUGUAGGAUAGGUGGGAGGCUUUGAAGUGUGGACGCCAGUCUGCAUGGAGCCGACCUUGAAAUACCACCCUUUAAUGUUUGAUGUUCUAACGUGGACCCGUAAUCCGGGUUGCGGACAGUGUCUGGUGGGUAGUUUGACUGGGGCGGUCUCCUCCUAAAGAGUAACGGAGGAGCACGAAGGUUGGCUAAUCCUGGUCGGACAUCAGGAGGUUAGUGCAAUGGCAUAAGCCAGCUUGACUGCGAGCGUGACGGCGCGAGCAGGUGCGAAAGCAGGUCAUAGUGAUCCGGUGGUUCUGAAUGGAAGGGCCAUCGCUCAACGGAUAAAAGGUACUCCGGGGAUAACAGGCUGAUACCGCCCAAGAGUUCAUAUCGACGGCGGUGUUUGGCACCUCGAUGUCGGCUCA